CUUGGUGUUGGUGGCGUAACAACAGGUGGCGGUGGGCACGGUGAUGGCGGUGGCGGUGGGCACGGUGAUGGCGGCGUUACGACGGGUGAAGGCGUAUGAGUGGGUGGUUUAGGGGUGGACGGAGGUGGUUUAACAGUGGGCGGUUUCGUGGGUGGUUUCGGGGUAGACGGAGGAGGUUUAACGGUGGGCGGUUUCGUGGGUGGUUUCGGGGUGGACGGAGGUGGUUUAACGGUGGGCGGUUUCGUGGGUGGUUUCGGGGUGGGAUGAGGUUUGGUAGGGGGUUUCGGAUGUGGGUGUGGUUUGACAGUGGGCGGUUUGGUAGGGGGUUUAGGGUGUGGGUGUGGUUUGACGGUGGGUGGUUUGGGAGGUUUUACUGCCGGUGGUUUAGGCGGUUUGCUAGGAUGUUUAGGCGGUUUGUGGGGGUGAGGUGAUGGUUUAGGAGGGCUACAGUCGCAAGCGAAGGAGACGGCAAGAAAGCCAAGGAAGAGGAGGAUAAGAAAAGAGAGGUUUUGUGUACGAGACCCCAUUUUUCUAGAGUGAGGGUGUGGUUUACCCAAAGGAGUGAGUAAGAAAGAUAUAUGAGUGUAUCAUUUUAUAGAAAGAUAUUAAAAUAUAUUUGCUAUAUAUAAUUUUCAAAUAUGCAUUCUGUGACCAGAUUAUUGAAACUGAGUUUCGGUUUUUGUUUUUGUUUUGAAAUCUAGAUUUUGUAGCAUGUGUUAAGUCACUUAGUUACAACUUACAAGUUGUCAUUUCCUGAGUUGUAAAAAAAUAGGACAACAUUCGUUAUAUAUAUAUACUUCCAUAGAACUAUUGUGGAUCAACCUAUGUGAAGAGGAUACAAAAAAAUAAGCUUUAAAGAUUUUAGUAAGUUCAAAAAAAAUUUGUAUUUUUCUUAUUGAUCAAAACACUGCCAAAAGCAAAUACACUGCAUUUGGUGCGAAGAACUCAAACACUACUCCUCGCAAGGUUUCUGCCAAAUCAUUUGCUCUAUCCUUCUCCCUCUGAGUUUUUUUAAUCUAGGGAGAUAUAUAUACCUUGUUAUUCAUAGUCUACUUAGAACAAGGAAGCAGAUAUAUAUUAGAUUUCUAAUAUACAACCUCUGAGUAACUCGGAUUCGGCCACCUCCUCGAAUCAUAGGAUGACUCUAUCCACUCUUCAAUGUACAUAAUAUUAUUUGAUCAUCCAUGUUUUUUUGCACUCGGUAAUUUCUAGCUAUAUAUUAAAACUGGAAAUUGUUUUGAGUAAAUUCGAUUAUGAAUAGUUGGUAAACGUACGUUUAAAGGAUGGUUUUAUGCUUCUGCCAUGGUUGUUAAAAUAAAGGAAUAAAAGAGUGCAAUUUUAACCAAAAAAAAGAGAGAGAGAGAGAGAGAGAAUGCAAUUUCAGUUCUACGAGACCUUCAUCUGAAUCCAAAAUAUAUUAUGAUAAAAAAGAAGCAAAUAUUACAACCGUGCGACAAACGCUCUCAACUCUUCUUGCUACAAACGCCGUGCGCCUUCGUGUUGCUCCGGUCCGGCAAGCGUGCUGGUGCCGGAGGCCCUUUCUCCUCUCCUCUUUGCUCUUCUCCCUUGUCUCUUCCAUGGUUUCCUUGCUCAGAUCUGUGAGUAGGUCAAAGGUGGUCAUCGGCGUUCCGGUCUAGAUCUUGGUGCACGGAGGCCAGAUCCGGUGGUUAUCUUACUUGCUUGGAGUGAUGGCGAAGUCUGGGAGCGGUGAGGUGGUGAAGAGUCGGCUUUUAGGGUUUGUGACGGCGGAGCGAGUUUUUCAGAUCUACGGACUGCCGCUCUUCUCCUCCGUCUGAGUUUGCGGCAAUGUGUCGGAGGUCUCUCUUCUCCUGUUGUUCAGAGUUGCGGUCGUGGUGGCUGUCUCUGUUUCUCCAGCAAGUUGGGUCGGUUUUUGCGGUUUGUUCUUAGCCUCUGUCCUUGGCGUCUUGGAGAGGUUCUUCUUCCGCUUCCGGCCAGGAAAGUCACUAUUGGUCUCAUCCUUCCAAUGGUGGCGCCACCAGAGAGUGGUAGGUUUCGCGUGUCUCCUCCUUCUCAUCCGGUUUCAAGCGUGUGGACUGUGGGCUGGUGCUGUCUCUUGACGUCGUCUAUGGCGUUGUUGACAAUCCCUUUCAUGUCGACGCUUUCCUUGCUCUGCUCUGGCACUGUUCUUGCUCGUGCUUGGAUCCCAAUCUCUCUCUGAUUUGUUCUCUCGGAGGCCUUCGCGUGAUUCAGGUCGCUUGAGAAGCUGUGGAACCGAGUCCCGGUUCUCGGUCUCGGCGUUUGGCAAGUUCUCUUCGUCGCUUGCGGUGGUCAGCAGGUUCCGGAGAAACUUGAAGGCUUCAGACGUUACGCCAUGAUUUCGCAGUGCUGCGGUUUGUUUCUUGACUAGCUGCAGUAGUUAUGGCUUUUUCUACAGCUUAUAGGUUUUGAUUUGAGCUCUUUGCAAGGACGCCUAUAUCUCGGCCCGUCUUGUCCUUGUUUGUGUCGAGUCGGGGUGCUCGUACACGUUAAGAUCGGUGCUUUGAAUGUUCAAGGAUUUCGCUGGGUUCGUGCUGAGGAUAAGUGUCGUCAGUCUCUGCUGGGUUCGUGCUGAGAGUAUGCUUCGGUCUUGCUCAAAGCGUCGUCGGGAGACUAGGGUUCGUACUUUGAAGCGUCGUCGGAAAACUAGGGUUCGUGUUCUAUGGCGUCGUCGGAUUUCCUAGCCGUAUUCACGGUUGUAGAUCAUGUUUUUAGCAUUAAGACUUGUAGUUUUAAUCCUAAUGGUUGUCCUUUAAGAUUUUUUCACUUUUUUUGGAUCUUAAAGAACUUGUAUCCUUUCAUUUUCAUUAAUGAACAUUUACAGUUUAGCAAAAAAAAAAAAAUAUAUUAUGAUAAAAAAAGAAAAUUCAUGCCACCAAAAAUAUUUUUCUUAAAGAAAAUAUGAUCAUUGGCCAAAAAUCAUGAAAUUUGUGGUUGUAAAAGUAAGAGACAUUUCAUAACAUUCACUUAAAAUCCUUUGUUUUAAUUACUUGGACAUGAUCAUAAUGGUUUAGCCAAUAUAAAACGUACAAACCAUGAAAAUGUUUGACGAAACGACCACCGGAGAUAGAAUUGUCAACAUGCAUUGAAAAACAUAAACUGUCGCAAAGGUAGGCACCAUUUUUUUUUUUAAUUGAAAAGGUAGGCACCAUUAUCGUGUACGUCUUAUAUGUUUUCUAUUUCUUUCUUUUGUUCUCGUUUCCAAAAGGCUAUUGUCACCAAGCUUUUCCAUUACAUAUUUUCCGUAAAAUGAUCGAUAUUUUCAUAUAUGGAUAAAACUUAGCUUUUCCAAAUAUGCCUUCUCUUUUUAUAAUCCUGUCUAAUAGUGUCUUGCACCCUGGUUUGUUAAAUCGGAGAUCCAGUUGGUCAAAUAUCUAAAAUCAACGCGUAAAUCAGGGAAAUGUCCCGAUAUUGCCAAGCUCUAUUACUCUAGCAUAAUAGCAUUUUAGAGAAUGCCCAGUCUAUCAGCGUUUAACAGUCACUAGAUUAAAACAUUUGUUAUGUUAUUGUAUAGAUUUUCUUUUCUAGAAAAACUUUGGGCAGACAUAUUUUGUAGUUACUAGUGAAAACAAUGGGAGUAACCAGAGGAUUUUGUAGUGUAAUGGCCAGUGGGCAGACAAUUUAUGAAGGGAUUUUGUCAGCAUUACUUGACUUAAGACACACCUCCCAUCUUGUAUAGUGACAAGAUAUAAUCAAAGACAUCCUUCUCACUCUUCUUUUUUUCUAAUUCCUUCCGUUUUAGGUCCACUUUUCGAGAAGCAUAUUAGGCAAGUUCAGAACUUCUCUUGGGUUUUGGUUUAUGUUUUUACCUAUUCAAAAAGGAGGAAAAGAAUCAGUUUUGGUUUAGCAUACCAAACCUACGAUAUAAAGUAUUCAAAUGUUCAGUAUUCAUAUAAAGUAUAUAAGUCGAUAUAUCUUGAGCCAAGGUCCGAGUUAUUGGGAUUUCGUAGGUAGAUGACAGGUUGAAAAGUAUUCGUUUAUAUUGAUGAAAUCACUCCCCCACCUCCAUAACGUGUUUCGGACGUUCAGUCAUUUACAUUUUCAUAUAGCCAAUCUAGGCUUUGGAUCAUAUAUUCCAUAUGAUUUGUUCAAAGCUUUUUCUUUAGUUUGUUUUUGUCUCCCGCGUUAGAAAGAUACGAGCUUGUGCGCCUUUUAUCAGAUCUUUAAGUGAUUGAAUAACGUCCGUGAUUGAUGAUUCUCUUUAGAAUUUUUCCAUUAAAUAUUAAUUAUACUAGUGAUGAUUCAGAAUAUGAUUUCAUUGUGGGUCAACAUAUACUAAUUAAAGCUAAAUCUAGUAUCUGAUUGGUAAAAUUGAAACGAUAAUUUGGUUAACACACACGUUCACUGCGUUUAAAAUAACAAAACUGUAAAUUUACUUUCUUCAGAACACGAUUUAUAGUUAUUUUUCUGCCAGAUUCUUUCACAUGGUGUAGAAAGCUUAUUUAUUAGUAUUGUUGGGGAUUUUUGUUAUUCAAAUUUCUAUUUGUCCUGAAUAAAUUUAUUAUUGAACAGUUUUCACCAUACUAUGAUACUAUUCGCAGAUUUACUAAGAAAAGGUAGAGUGAAAGUUGUACAAAAUCCCAUUGUGUUUGAGGAGUAAAGGUUUUCUCUACCACUUUUUCUCUGAACAACUUUUCUUUGCCAUAUUCACUUUCGCAUCUCUAUUGACAAUAUCGCAAAAACAUUGUGGUUUAUUUUCUAAUUCAGUUUAUCAAGAACUGUUUAAAAUAAUUUUAGUUAUAAUUUAUAAACCUACUUUGUAUUAUAAAUUAUGAAAUUAAAAACUUUUAGAUUUAUUCACGGUGAAUAAAACAAAAUAAAGUUUAGACGCCACUACAAGGUGGCGGGUAGGAUUUGGCGGGUAGCAAAAACAUUGUAAACCCGUGAAGUCUGUCACUUUUAGGAUUUAUUUUUCUUUAAAAACCAAAAAUGGGAAAUGGAUAAUGUGACGUGCUGAAUGCAUCUCAUGCAUGCAUGUGACUCCACCAUAAUUUAAGAAAAAACAAACUUAAAAACAUGUGGUCUGACUCUCUGAGUACUCAUGUCCUAGUCGUGAUAAUUUGUUUUGCAGAAGCUUUUUUUUUUUGCAAUUAAAAAGUGGAGAAGAAGAAAUCGAACCCGGUUUUGCGGAAGCUUGAUCAUUUCUUUACUGAUAGAGUGAUAAUAGUUAGAGAAAAUUGGCCCAUGUACCCUUAAAUGAUCCCUUAAUUUGAGCUUUGCGCCUGAAAUGACAGUAUUAGUUUUAUUCUGAAAUUAACCUUACUUCGUCGUUGACGGCUUUAGAUGAAGUUGUGUCAGUAUACUCUGUGCAUGUCGAAAAUAUGUAUCAGAUGGAAAAUUCUUUUCUAGUUCUCUUUCUUCUCGUAAUCUCUUUCUUUUCAAAGGUCUUUUUUUUUCUUUUCACUUCUCUAUAUUAAAUGUGUGUUUUGCAAUGUCUUUCUUCUCUCCUUCUCUAUUUUCUUCGUAGAUUCUUUAUUUUUGUUUCGUUUUUUAAAUCUAUAGAUCUUUAUAAUUUAAAAAAAAAAAAGAAAGAAAUUCAUCUCAAAUUUGUUUUGCACUACUUUUUCAUAUUAUGUUCUUCAUCUAGACUUUUUUGAUUCCUUUUAUUUUAUUUUCUAUGUUUGAUUUUUCUCAUUAAUAUAUUUUAUCUCUAAUGAACUCUCUUUCCAGGGUUGGGAAGUUGCUGAAGAUCGAAGAUGAAUCCAGAGUGAUGGCUAGCAAUUUCGUGAUGUUUGUUGAUAUAUAUAACAUUUAUGUUAGCAACCAUUUUACUUGUUACCCAAUAUUAUUUAUGUUUAUUAGUGUAUAGAAAACAAAAGAUACAUAGUUGGUUAAAUAAUAUAUGGCUUGUUAGGCGUUAAAUUUUUCUUGGUAUUUUAUUUAUUAGCUAAUACAUUAUUUGUUAGUUGAUACAUAUUUUCGUAGUAGAUACAAUUUUUUAUUAUAUAUGUUAUUGAUUCUUUUAACACACUAGACAUAAUCAUGAUCAUCUAACAAUGGUUUGUUAGCUGAUAUAUGAUUUUUUUUUCUGAUUAAAUAAAUUUAUUGAUCAAAGUGGAAAAGGGAUUUACAUAAGAUGAUCUAUUGUUCUACUCUAUAAAGAAUAAAACAAUGAUAUGUUCUAAUAUGUGUAGACAGUAAACCAUCUCAAAAGUAGUCCGCUCAGCAUAUGGUUUCCCCUAUACUUCAAAGAUGAGAUGUGCUUCUUGACAAUAUUCCCAAUAGCCUUAGUAGUUGUAUCCACAGGUGCACACACCUCCGUGCCGUCUUGAGUUCCUCUCCUUCCACAGCAUAUAAAUGGCUGUUUGGAAAACUAAGCGGAGGAAUAUAGUAUCGAUUCUGCUCCUGUUCUGGUGUAACAUGGAGGUGACUAUAUUUUCCCAGUCCGGUGUUAUCGCUGGACAAAGUAAUUUCUUUGCUACAUUCAUCCAAACUGUAAAGGUAUAAGGGCAAGCGAAAAACAAAUGAUCUCUGCUUUCAUUCUUGUGGGUCUCCACAGUAGACACAUCAUUGCUCCAUUCCCCAUUCUUUUAUUCUAGUGUCUGUUGAUAAUCUGUCUUUGAAAGCUAACCAUACCAUGAAGGAUUGUCGGGGUAUGGCCUGAGGGAACCACACAAUACAAUGCCAAGGAAGCUUUGUCUUUUUAACUCUCAGGUAGUUCCAAGUCUUGGUAGCUGAGAAAUAUGGUUUCAAAUCAUCCUGGUCAUGUCUCCAUAGAGCUAUAUCUGGCUCUGCAGUAGCUACCGGCUGUGAAAUAUCUGCAAGCUGAUAUAUGAUUUUCGGAAUAGACAGUUUUGUUUUUGGUUUGUUAGAUGAUCAUGAUUAUGUCUAGUGUGAUAAAUAGUUUGUUAUAGGAUACAUGAUUUAUUACCCGUCACAUAUUUUGUUAGCUGAUGAAUAGUUGAUACAUGGUUUGUUUCAUGGUUCACAAUUUAUUAAAUGAUACAUACAUACAUACCAACUAACACAUAUGUUAUCAAGAACGGGUUCUUCUUAAAUUUUUGAUACACCACCGCAUGAAUUAUAGUUGAAGAGAAAGACCACAACACAGAAUUUCUAUUAAUAUGAUUGGAAAUUGAAAACACAUUAUGAUUUGAAACAUAAAGGGAUAAGAACAAUGUUCACUGGAAGGGAUAAAAUCCCCGCAACCUGUCAUAUCGAUCGGAGUGUUUAAUGUUAAAUCCUCCAGUGAGUUUAAUGUCAUAUAGGAGUGUUUAAUGUUAAAUUUUUAAUACAAACAUAAGAACAUCAUUAGUGGUAUGAUACCCAUUUAGAGUAUCUAAUUUAUAUAAUAUUAAUAUUAAAACUAUUAAAUUUUAAACAAAAUAAAAGUCCAACCAAUGAGACAACAACAAAUAUUACCGGAGUCUAUAUCAAAAUGUGUGGAACGUUUCUCUAUAAAGGUACGUUAUCUUUCUAUUGUUUUGAUAUUUUUAUUUCAAGAAACCUAUUCAGAAACUAGCACGCAAGUUUCCUAAGAACAGUUUUUAAAAAAUGAUGUACUGAAUAUCUAUUUAUUAAAAUAAAAAUAAAAGGGAAUAGAGAACUAGAAAAGUUCUUAAUUGAGAAAUUUUGAGAACUUCAUAACAACCUUACUGUCCAAAUGUCAAAUAUUGGUUAGAUUUUUAAUAUCAAAAUUAAAUUUAACUAAGAAAUUAAGUUCUAUUUAAAAUUUAUACUUUUUUGCCGUAAAAAAAUCCAUGUGGAUUCUUACCAAUGGUGUUGCUCUAAUAAGACUAUCCACAUCAAAAAUAUUUCAAUUAGAAUAUGUCACCAAAAUAAUAAUUUUUUUUUUAAGAGAUUCAUGCUGAAAGUCGUCAUUUGAGAAUUCUGGACAUGAGUCUAUCAAAACAUUUGUAAAAAGAAAUCAUUAAAAUAUUGUAUUUUGUUGAGAGAUUCAAAUAAUAAUGUCCUAGCGAAACAUACUUAUGCAUGAGUAUGAUUUCUCAACUUUGUUUGCUCUUUGGUUAGCUAAAACUACAAAGAAAUAUUUGAUAAAAUAUCAGUAUCUGUGAUUGGAUAAGAACGGAUAUCUAAAUUAAUAUUAGUAUUUAUGAUUUGUUAGGAAAGGAUUUUGGAUUAAAUAUUACUAUUGAUUUCGACACGUCUACUAAUAAUUCCCAUCGUUUAGCACCUCAAGACGUAGAAGAAGACAGUAACAUACAGUGAAUAUUAUAGUGGCACAAAUAUAUCAGAACUCAACUGUAUUGUGAGACGAUUGAAGGUACAAAGAAAAAUUUAUUAUGUCUUACUUUUUCCACUUAUCUUCUACUACAUUUUGCCUGGAUUUGAAACUUUAUUAUGCUAUCUUUAGCUAAUUCAUGCAAUAAUAGAUUUCCUUGGGAUGAACUGGCACAAUUUUUUUUUGAACACAAAGAUGAACUGGCACACAUAUUAAACAUUUGUCGGUUAUUUCUUAAGUACAUUCCAGAACAAAAACAUACUAAUGUAUGUUGAUAUGUAUUACCAUUUACAAGAAUAACAUUGACAAAAGAAUAAAGAGUAGAUGUUCAUACAUUUUCAGUGUCACAUGAAAACACAGUUAAGUAAGUUUGGGUUGGCUCAAAAUAGUCAAAGCAAGUUAAGCGAUCAUUUAGGCCGAAUACUAUAGAUUAUAGACACAUUCUCUCUCUCUCUUUUUUUUUUGCUAAAAUUCUCUCUCUUUUUUCUAAUGGUUUUUCCUUUAAAGUAAUGCAAUCGGGAAUUUUUUUGCUUGUUACUGUUCAAAACCAAUAUAAGAGCUAUAAACCCAAUCUUUAUGAAAAAAAUAUCAUGAAACUAAUAAAGAAAAUUGACCUUCCAAUAUAUAAUUACGGAUUUCAAUUUCAUGCAUGCAUGCAUGUCCCUGCACCAUUCGUUUCUUUGUUUUCUCUCACGACCCAAUAAUUUGAAAACCAAGUAAAUUAAAAGAAAUAUUGGUGGUCGUCUGAGUACUUGAGUAUUAUUCGCAAGGACGUGUUGUUGGUCCAUAACCAGCAGAAAAGACCAAGAAAACGAUAUUGGUUUUGAUGUUGAAUACACGUCGGUCCGUCGACAGCAGAAAAGAGAAUAAAAUCCAGACGCCAUAUGAAUUUGUUUAUGUCGGUAACUCAAUAGCAGAAAAUAGGAUUAUAUAUAUUGAAUCAAAAAGCGAUCAUCGUUUUGAUAUUUUAAUUUACGCAUGUACCUGCACUAAAAAUAUUGAAAUAAAAAUAAUAAUUUUAAUUUUGAUUUUUUGAGGAAAAUAUCACAAAUAAAAUACUUUCAUACGUAUCUUAACAUUAAAAUAGUGAUAUAUUUUAAUAUAUAUAUAUAUAUAUAUAUAUAUAUUUAUCUACUUUCUUAAAAAACAUUCAUUAGAAAUACUCUUAAAACAUAUUAAAAAAAAACAUUUUUAUUGAUUGCAGAUUUUUUUGUAAAACAGAGGUUGACUAACGAAAUGGUUGGUUUUCAAGUUUAUCAAUUGAAAUGAAAUCACAGUUAACUCUGGAUUUAGCUAACUUUUAAAUUAACAAAUCAUUUGAAGGAACUCCACAUGUCCUAUUUCUUAAAUAUGCUUUUAGCAUAAUCUCUAAAUUUCCUGGAGCUUCAAGAGUCUCAGAAUACCGCCCUAUUUCCUGUUUAAAUACUAUAUAUAAGGUCAUCUCGAAGUUCCUAGUUUCAAGACUCAAACCUAUUCUACCGCACUUGAUUCUCCCGUGUCAAACUGCAAUCGUUAAGGAUAACCUGCUUAUUGAAAACACAGUACUUACUAGUGAAUUGAUCCAUGGAUACCAUAAGAACAAGGGAUAAAAAAAAAUUACCAUAAAGGUGGACAUAGCCAAAACUUUCGACACAUUAUCAUGGGAAUUUCUCCCUUGAAGGUCUCCACAUCCCUCCUAAGUUCAUUUUAUGGCUCAAGGCCUGCAUAUGCACGACAAGCUUUAUGAUUGGCUACAAUGGUACAGUCUCAGGUUAUUUUAAACGCAAAAGAGGCUUAAGGCAAGGUGACCCACUGUCCUCUUACUUAUUUGUGAUCGUUAUGAACUGUCUAUCCUUUAUGCUAAACAAUGCAGCGGCUCAUGGGAACAUUUAGCAUUCCAAAUAUUGUAAGAUGAAACUAACACAUCUAUCAUUUGCCGACGACAUACUGAUUUUCAUAGAUGGGUCUUUGGAGUCGGUCCAAAAUGUGCUUCAAUUCCUCCAUGAAUUUGAGCAACGGUCUGGCUUGGCGGUCAGCUACCAAAAAACAAGUUUUUAUGCAUCAGGUAUGUCUCCUCAAGAAAUUGAAACGAUACAGGCAUCUACUGGAAUGUCUUGUGGGACUCUACAUGUCUGCUAUCUUGGAGUAUCGCUCAAUUCAAAAAAAUUGAACCUUGCCAAUUGUGAGCCUCUCAUUCACCAGAUCAAGUCAAGACUCUUCUCUUGGUCAGUGAAGUCACUCUUCUCAGGCAGGCUCCUCCUCAUUAAAACUGUGUGAUUGCGGGAAUCACAACAUUUUGGUGUUCAGCCUUCAUCCUGCCAAAAACGUGUGUUUGGCGUAUCAAAUCUAUGUGCAGUGUGAUCUUAUGGAAGGGAGAAAUUGAUGGCCACAACUCUGCAAGAAUGGCUUGGGAGACAGCAUAACUUACAAAAGAUCAGGGAGGCUUGGGGAUUAGGGACCUCCAAACUUAGAAUAAGGCUUGCUGCUUAAAGCUAAUAUGGAUGUUGUUCUUUUAUGAUGGGUUUGUGUGGGUCGCUUGGUUCAAGAAGGUCAUUAUAAAAGGGUCCAUUCACAACUACUGGACAACUAAACCAAGCAGCUCCUACUCAUGGCUAGCCAACAAACUCCUCAAUCUAAAAAAUGAAAUCUUCCCACUCAUCAAAUUGCGGCUGGAGAAUGGUGUCUCUGCUAAAUUUUGGUUUGAUAACUGGACUCCCUUUGGAAGCCUUUCGACUUUCCUCAGUAACUCCUCAUCAAAAUCAGGUAUUCAUGAAAAAGCUUAUGUAGCCUCACAAUGUAGGAAUGGAAUUUGGCUGCUUCCACCUGCAAGAACAGAAGAACAAGUUCAAUUACAGACAUACUUCACUACCGUCACUCUCACUCAGGCUCAGUACUGCUAUGAAUGGGAGCUGGAAGGUAAACCUACUCAGACUUAUAGCAUCCGAGAUGUUUACACUUACUUGAGAGGAGAAAUCAAUUAUGUGAUUUGGUCUUCCUAUGAGAUCCGAAGACACAACUUCCUUGUUUGGUUGGUAAUCCAAAACCGAGGUCCAACUAAAGAGAAAAUACUCGGAUGGAGCUUUCAGGUUUCGCUUUCAGUUUUGAUCUUUGGUCCUUGGCUGCUUCACGGUGUAGGAUCACCCCCACUAGAGAUUGGAACGAUACAGUCUCUUAGAUGAUUGGACUACCAAGAAGCAAAUCGAGGCGCCAUCAAACUCUCCUAACUCUCCUAGCUUGGAAAAUAACAAUAUACUGGACAUGGAAUGAAAGGAAUUCUCGUCUUCACUCCAAUGUAUAUUGAUCGGUCAAUACUAUCUUUGCAAUAUUUGAUCGUCAACUGAGAAACAAGAUUAUGAGCUUCAGAGCAUCUAAUCCGGUUAUCUCCGCAGCAAUGUUGCAAGCAUGGUUCUCAGUGGGUUAGACUUCUCUCCGUCGACGGAUUCAUCAUCUCCCACCUCUCAACCAUCGUGCUUUCCGUCACAAGAAAACUGAUUGUCUUUUCUAAUCUGGAUACGUGGACUCUUUUUCUGUGUAUUUAAUGGGUCAUGGGUCAUUAAGAUUCAUUUAUUAUGAGUUUUAAGUCUGGGUUUGAGCUUCGGUAACUAAAGCCAAAAGCUUGUAAACAAUUUUUUUUUUCAUUUAAUGAAAGCCUAAGUUACAGAAAAAGAAACACAUUCAUGUAUUUCAAUACAUAACAAAUGUACUGUAUUCCUUGACAAAAGAACAAAAGUAGAGUAAUUAUUUGCUAUUAUUACAUAUUAAGCAAAAAAUGUUUUGAGGAUUUGGAUUUGGGUUUGUCACAUGGAUACCCAGUUAACAGCCUGGGCCGAUUCAAAGAACUCAAAGUAAACCUGAGCCAAUUAUAUUAGACUUCACGGCCCAUUAUAUAAGCUUCUUCUGGUCUAGUGGAUGGUCUCAAUUCUCAAAAUAUUCGAGGAAAUGAGAAAAUGUAUAGCAUCCAGCCUUGGAAUGAGCAAUAUUGCUGUAUAACAGAGAUGUCAGGGAGAGUAGACCGCGUUUGUGGAGCCUACGAGUUUCUUAAAAGACUUGGUGAAGAAGGCAGGUGAAUGUAACCGAAUUUACACCUGACAAUUUCAUGUAAACUCCGUUACAAAAAAAAAAAUUCAUGUAAACUUUUGUAAGAUAUAAUCAUAUAAACGUAAUAAUGUUACUUGCUUUGAAUUAAUAAAAAGUUAUUACAAACAACAAGCCAUUGGCCAAACUAUAACCAUAACCUUAUGAAUAUCAAAAAUAAAUUUUAUAAUGUAUUUAUUAGUGAGGUUGAACUUUAUAGUAGGGUUUUUAUUUUGGUUUGUAUAUGAUGAUCAUAUUAGAUAUUACAACUACCAUAUGCAUGGAGAUUGAAAAUUGCAUGAACAACCUAAAAAAAAAACUUACUAGUCAUUAAACUCAACCACUAGUCGUCCACCACUAAAUAAACUCAUAAGAAAUAUAUUUAUACAUACAGUUGUAUCUUUUUUAUAAAACUACAGAAAUGCUAGGUGAAAGAAUACUAGAAAGUUUGUUCCAGCCUAUCAUUUCAUGUGUGUUUACAACCCUAUAUAAUGUGAAGAGACAUAAUUUAAUCAUAAUUAACAUUAAAAGUUAUAAAACAUGAUUGAGAGUCUUGAGCUGUUUUGUUAAUUGUAAUUGGAAUUAAGCUCAAUAUGCAUAUUGAGGUUAAUGGGACUCGUAAUGUUUCUAGAUUCAUCCCCUCUUCCUAACCCAUUUCUCACUCGGUUUUAUCAUUUCUUCAAUGUUUGGCUUUUGUAUUAUAUUGGCCAGACUCGAUAUCAACGUCGAUCAACGUCAAAGACCCGUCUCAGGCAAAAUCGCAAUUAUAGUUAUAACUGUAAUUAACAUCAGAGCUAAGGAAUUGAAAAGAAUAUAGAUAAACGAUAAUGAUCUUUAAUCUAGGCAUGUUAGUAGCCUAUACUACCUUCACCAAAAAAUCUUCCUAGGCAAGUUUGAUUUCAACAUCAUCCCCAUAUAAUUGUCAAAAGACUAUUCUGGUCUUUCAGAAAAUUCUAUUAAAUAUAUUUCACUAAUCCAAAUUUUAGCAAUAAAAAAUGAUUAAAGAAAAAAAAAAAGCCAAAUUAAUUUUGUGGAAGGAAAAAGGCCAAUCACAGUUUAUUUUCGACUACAACUCAUAUAUGUUAGAUAAUAUCAAACCAUUAUGCCAUAAAAAGAAGAAAAAUAUAAAGUUAUAACUUAUAUUUAUAAUUUAAAUUGAAAUUGUGGAUUGAAAAUUUAGAAUUCUUUUUUUUUAAAGGAAAAUUUAGAAUUCUCACAACCUUUAUUGAGCUAAUUUGGUAAAAUUGCAUUCACAUUAAGUUCGUGUUUGAGAAAAUGUCUACAAUCCAAUAAGAAUACAAAAGUUAGUGUAAGCUAAUUUGGUAAGCUAAUUAUGGAUUGAAAAUAUAGAAUUCUCACAACCUUUAUUGAGCUAAUUUAGUAAAAUUGCAUUCACAUUAAGUUCGAGUUUGAGAAAAUGUCUACAAUCCAAUAAGAAUACAGAAGUUAGUGUAAGCUAAUUUGGUAAGCUAAUUAUGGAUUGAAAAUUUAGAAUUCUCACAACCUUUAUUGAGCUAAUUUAGUAAAAUUGCAUUCACAUGAAGUUCGAGUUUGAGAAAAUGUCUACAAUCCAAUAAGAAUACAAAAGUUAGUGUAAGCUAUUUGCCUCGUGCAUCCUCCAUUCAUAUGCACGUUUUAAAAAAGAAAUUAUGAAGUUACAACUGAUAUUCAUAUUUUCAAAUCUAUCGAACUAAUGGUAAAGCAGCCAAAAGCUACUUUCAUACUAAUUUCAUGUUUGAAUGUCUACACUCCAAUAAGAAUACAAAAUUGAACCUAGGCUAUUUGCCUCAUAUUUUUUGCAUUUUAUGCACGUUAUGUGUAUAGUGUAUUAUUUCUAUGACUAAUAUUUGAGAAAUAUAUUUUUUCACAUGCAAUUGAUUUGAACUUCACGUGAGGAUAUUUCAAUUAAUCGCUAAGGUAUGUGAUAUAAAUAUUAGUGCUUAAGAACAUUUAUUUUAAUUUAGCUACGUCUAAUAGAAAUAUGGGCUCCAUAAUUUUUGUCCGAUAAUUUAUUUUGGUAGAAAAUAUACACAUUUAUUUGGGAAACACUAUUUUAUUUUUCUUAUUGCCAAUUUGGAAAUUUGAAUGCAAGCAAGUUCAGUCACUGAAUAUAUAUUCGCAUCUCUAGGACCAUGAUAACGCUACAACCUUAUGCUUAAAACAAAGAUGAUAAAAGGCUUAAGUAUGAAAAUGAAAGAAAAAAACUUAAACAACAAAGGUGUACGAUUUUGAUUAUUUGACAGAGAAAGUCAGACCUAACAUUUCUGCUUUUAAGCGAUAAUAUAUUUUUAAAACGAAUCCGAUCAUUUUCUCAUGGUAGCUUCGAAGAAGACGUAUUACUACUAGUCCCCUCCUUAGACGACGGAUCGAGCCGAACCUCCUCCUCCUCCACCAUCCGCCGGAGGAACUUGUUGGGAAGAUCCGGCGGAUGGAUCCGACCCGAAAGCUAUAGCGGAUGGAGAUACCGUGUACUGCUGAACCACGGCGCGGUAAUUGGCUAGAUCGGUGGUGAUUACUAUCGCUGGUGUAUUACGUGAGGCUCCUGAUCUUUUACGGCCUGUUUCUUGACUCGGACGUGAGUUCAUUUUGUUGUGUGUCUGUGAGAGUUUGUAAGAAAGAAAAGUGCAUUUGCCUUCGUUACUUAUUUGUUUAUUUAUAGGUUUUAUUUUGAUUCGACUUAGCCAGACGAAGACUAUUCUAAAUCAAUCGUGACUGUUAGUUGAGUUUUACCAACAAACUAUAAGAAUUAAGUUUGGUAAUUGGUAAUUGCCUACUUUCCCAACAAGUUUACGAAAUUGAUCCAUUUCACUCUAUGUAUUCUUCUAUUAAAGUAUUACGUAUAAUAAGUCCUUCACUUUACAUAAAACGUUACAAAGCUGACGACAUAUUUUCCUGAAAGUUCUUCUAACCAAAACUAGUGUGAAUCCUGAUCCUGACGUGUGAUACAAACUACAUCAUCGAUCGUUCUCUUUUUAUUAAUCAAAAACAGCCAAUGACCAAGCUUGGUGAUAAUCAAGCCCUAAUUAGAAAAUCACACACGAUAUUAAAGGAAAACUAAUAUUGGGAUCACAAGUGUGAAACAAUACAACAACAACAACAACAACAAAAGUAUAUACCUUCUUUCACUUAUCUCUUCACUUGUUGGCAUUUUCUUCCAUGCACUCUUAUUCAUCACACUUUUUAAAUAAAAAAUUAUACAAAAAAUAACGUACUAUAUAUACAAUCACAUUGGGAGGGCCAUGAGCAGCAUGGUCCGUUAUUUCAACAAAAGAAUUGUUUCACAAAAUUAUACCCCACAUGCCUUACUUGAAUAAUAAACUACUUACCACCAAUCCAUAUAAGGAAUCCACAGAGAAUCAUGGACAAAAAGGAUGGCUAACAUAAAUAACAGACAACAAUGAACACCAGACAAUGUACCAAAGCAACUCUCUCUAGUCUGAAACCCAUUCUGUUCUCCCAUGAUUGUGUCUCAGAAGCUGUGUAUGUACAGAAACGAUGGGAGAGGGAUUUGGGGCUAUGCAAGAAGCCUUUGUUUUAUUGGGUCUGAGUUGCGUCUUCUCUGGUUUUGCGCAGAUGCUUGCGUGAGUUUUCCUGCUCCGAUGAUGGCUUUACCUGACCGUGAUCCUAAGGAUUUUCCUGUUCAAGAAUUAAUAUUCAAAGUUUAGACUUAAAAAGACAAUAGAUCAAAGAUCAAAUGUGUUGCUUCUUAGAUGAAUGUGACUUGUUCCAUGUCUAUUCAAAGACUAUUAUCUUAAUCAUUAUAAGAAGUUUCCUAGGCCUAGAGAAAGAGAUCUGACCACUGUUUGGUAGAGAUAACCGUUCCUUUGGAUUGCUGUGAGAUCUUGGACCAGCACCAUGUCUUCUUGAGUUAACUUCAACAGCAAGGUCGUCUUUAACAAGCUUUGACCUAGCCUUGGAUACCACUGGAAUGCUUCCAGGUGAAGAAGAAUCAUUAUCAGACAGAGAUGGCCUUGUUGCCUUGCCACUCGAAACACCGGAUACAAGAGUUGAAGUGUUUGGCAUCCUGCUUGCACUUUUCAUCUGUGUUUUAUGCACACUCUCAGACUGCUCCAUAUUGUUUAAGUUUACAUCUUCUCUGAGGUUACUACUGUCAAGAAACCGAUUCUCCCAUGGACGAACAGCCAUCCAUCUCUCCAGCCAGUUCCAUCCCCAGUUGUUUUUGUCAGGUUGAAAUCCACUGUGCGCAGACAGCUGCCUAGUUCCUGCUUGCCACUACAAUACACCAAAUUCAAAUGUAAGAGAAAGAAUGAUCCUUAACUAGGAUAGAGGUUGUUGUGAGUAAAACCUGGUGAGUCAAAGCAUAAGCCAUAGCCCUCUCACGCUUAGCUGCAGCUUCCUGCCUCUUUAUCAGCUUUGCUUGGAUUUGCUCAACAGAUCCAAUGCUAUCACACCAACCUUCCUGAUAAGACAAUGUCAACACAACAAGAACUCUCUCAACAAAAGUAACAUAAAAUUUGUAUUUAGACAAGUGAUCAUCAGUCAUCACCUCUAUUUCUCGAACCCGGGAUUCAUCUGUUACUUGCUGUUGUAGCGUCUGCUGACCCGUUUCAGUUUCCAAGGAGAGACGAACACGUCUUGCACGUACACGAGCCUGGACUCUUACCAACGCUUGCAUGCACCGAAGCGUCACAGCUGCUUGUUUUCUCACAACGUGUCCUCUAACAAGGGCUUGUAGUCUCACCAAUCCCUUCAACGCUCUUAAAGCCCUUCUCGCCUACAAAAAAUUGUAUCUCCAAUUUUUCUCAGUCCAAUCAAGGCCAUAAAGAAUAGACAAUCACAGCACAACAAAUAAGAGGACUUAACAAGGAGAAAUUGAUACCAGAAAGGCUCGAAAAGCAGUUUGGAUGCGCGUUGCAGCCAGAUGUUCCUUCCUUUGUUCUUCAUAAGCUGCACCAUAUGACUGUAAUGAAGUUGAAGUAGAGACUCCAGCAUCUAUCACACUAUGCACAUUUGAAUCAUCAAGUCCAUCUUGGAACUUGUCAGCAUCAAAAUCAACUGAAUGCUUCCUCCCAAACCGGCUCUUGGUAGCAAUCUUCACCUUCAUCAGUUGAACAAACAUUUAAUGAAAACACAAAAAGAAAAUGAAAGUUGUAACCAAUAAUUGAUAAAGAGAUUCUCUAGUCAUUUACAUUAUCAUCCUUCUUUGAAGACUUUGACUUGGUGAAACCAACCAAUGCUUUAAUCCAUCUCCCUGAAGCACCCAUUGCACAUCAAUGAUAACAACAAACCUGCAAAACUGUAGCUGAAUUAUACAAAAAGAAACGAACUUUCUAUUUUGGGUCAAAGCAAAAAAACAAGGAAACUCAAUUGGGUAGCUAAAUGCUUCAGACACUGUUUUUUCGUUUGACCAAAACUUUUCGGACAAUGUUUUUUUUUUGUUUGACCAAAACUCUUCAGACAAUGUUUGGGAUCCCAGAGGAACACUAAAUCAAACAGCUGUCUAAAGCAAAAGAAUAAGAAAAUUUUGCAAUAAAACUUUCAAAUUAAGAAACAGAGAGAGAGAGACACUCGAGAGAGUAAGCAAAGUUAGAAACUUUACCGGCGGGGAAGGAAAGAUCAGCAGCCGAUGAGAUCCCCGAGGAGGGUGUGAAAGUGAGUGAUCUUCAGUCUCACUGACCGUCUUUCUUGCCUACUUUCUCUCUAUCUCUCUAGAUUUGGGUGAAGGAUUAUUUAUUACAGAUAGGAAUUGACUUG
rnacentral:lncRNA from 1 species